AUUGAACGCUGGCGGCGUGCCUAACACAUGCAAGUCGAGCGGUAACAGGUGUAGCAAUACAUGCUGACGAGCGGCGAACGGGUGAGUAAUGCUUCGGAAUCUACCCAAUGGUGGGGAAUAACCAGCCGAAAGGUUGGCUAAUACCGCAUACGUCCCACGGGAGAAAGCAGGGGAUCGCAAGACCUUGCGCCAAUGGAUGAGCCGAAGUCGGAUUAGCUAGUUGGAGGGUAACGGCCUACCAAGGCGACGAUCCGUAGCUGGUCUGAGAGGACGACCAGCCACACUGGGACUGAGACACGGCCCAGACUCCUACGGGAGCAGCAGUGGGGAAUAUUGGACAAUGGGGGAAACCCUGAUCCAGCGACGCCGCGUGUGUGAAGAAGGCCUGCGGGGUU
rnacentral:rRNA from 1 species